GAACGCUGGCGGCAGGCCUAACACAUGCAAGUCGAACGCUCUAGCAAUAGAGAGUGGCAGACGGGUGAGUAACGCGUGGGAACCUUCCCAAUGGUGCGGAAUAGCCCAGGGAAACUUGGGGUAAUACCGCAUAAGCCCUUACGGGGAAAGAUUUAUCGCCAUUGGAUGGGCCCGCGUCGGAUUAGCUAGUUGGUGAGGUAAUGGCUCACCAAGGCAACGA
rnacentral:rRNA from 1 species